rnacentral:tRNA from 3 species
GGGCGCAUAGCUCAGCGGUAGAGCACUGGUCUUACAAACCAGGGGUCGUAGGUUCGAACCCUACUGCGCCCACCA